CUUUCAAUCUCGAUCUCUCCACUUUAAAAGCUUUGGGAAAAAAACAGAAUAGCUUUUAAUGAAAUAGCAGCUACUGGAACACCAGUAGCUCUCUUUCCUCCCAGAGAUGCAACAGGGAAUAUAAUUUAAUUUGAUUAAUUCAUAGCCUCAGGAAGCGGUGAGCAGCAAGAGAACUACCAGAACAUUGGUACCUUGACUUCUGAUGUGUGAUGGAGGGAAACGUUUGGAUCUUCUCAGGAGGAUGCAAAUGAAAGCAUGAAGACUUCAGACAUCACAGAGGCUCAGAAAAAACUCAGAAAAAGACAGAGAAUGAGAGAACAGAAGAAGUUGAAGCAGCAGAAUCUUCUUCUAUGAGAUAUUCUUUUUGAAAUUUAUGCAAAGAGAAUGCAGCUUUGUAAAGGGAGCUGAGCAUAAUCCCAAACACUGAUGAGAAUGCUUGGACAAUGAAGGUAACUGUUAAUUAGUGUGGAAAACAGCAAAAAAGACCUGCCAGGAGGAUUUCAGAACCCACCAGACUGCAGCCUAACAGUUAGGACAUGCUUGCGUGAGUUUAACUGUUCUUGGUUAAGAGACAGACUUAAAAUCUCUGACUCUUGGAUUAAAAAAAAAAAAAAAAAAAAAAAAAAAAGAAGAAGAAAAAGAAGAAAAAGAAAAAGAAAGACCGGAUAAAAUGGAAAUAGAAACAAAACACUUCAAUUUGCUGAGAAUGAAAUCUGUGCAAACACUUUUUGUAAUCCUCAACUAGAUUCAGAGAAAUGAGUGGUUUUUAAACCCUGACAGUGUAUAAAUAUAAAUUACAUGCUUAGCUGCUCAGUGCCAUCAAAAUGUGCAUGGUUCUGGGCAUACCCUGAAGGAGACAUUUAUCUGCUGGUAGAAGUUGACUGGUGGAAGUGCA
rnacentral:lncRNA from 1 species